rnacentral:snoRNA from 1 species
UCUUGAUGAUGAUCCCAAGCACGCUGAGCAAAACGUAGUUGGUCCUUCGUUUGCGUCGGCUGAUGUUUCUUGUCCUUUCAAGACGGGGCUGAGAGAAAC